rnacentral:rRNA from 1 species
AUUGAACGCUGGCGGCAUGCCUUACACAUGCAAGUCGAACGGUAACAGGUCUUCGGAUGCUGACGAGUGGCGAACGGGUGAGUAAUACAUCGGAACGUGCCCGAUCGUGGGGGGUAACGCAGCGAAAGCUGUGCUAAUACCGCAUACGAUCUACGGAUGAAAGCGGGGGAUCGCAAGACCUCGCGCGGACGGAGCGGCCGAUGGCAGAUUAGGUAGUUGGUGGGAUAAAAGCUUACCAAGCCGACGAUCUGUAGCUGGUCUGAGAGGACGACCAGCCACACUGGGACUGAGACACGGCCCAGACUCCUACGGGAGGCAGCAGUGGGGAAUGUUGGACAAUGGGCGCAAGCCUGAUCCAGCCAUGCCGCGUGCAGGAUGAAGGCCUUCGGGUUGUAAACUGCUUUUGUACGGAAUGAAAAAGCUCUCUCUAAUACAGGGGGUGAAUGACGGUACCGUAAGAAUAAGCACCGGCUAACUACGUG